rnacentral:lncRNA from 1 species
GAGGCCAUAAGCUAUGGAUCUCUUCUGCCUCAAAACAAGCAUUUAUGUUUAGAUGGGCAAAAAAGAACUGCCUGCUGAUACAGCCACCAAUCACAUGUCCCCACACCCAAGUCUGAUAAGAAGGCUAUGACGGGGGUGGGGUGCGGGGAAAGGAUUUGUGUUUCUUCUGCUCUUGUGCUGCUUUCAUCAUUGGCGUUAAUGAUCUUACGGCACAAAAUACUUGCUUUCUUGGCUUAACAAAGACACAAGUUCCUGCAAUGGCACCAGGUGUUAAUGAACUUACUCACCAGCGAGAGACCCGUGAAGUCACAGCAGAGGUGUCAGGCUGGAGCACUGGCGACAUCAGCUCUGUGUGAGAGCCAGACAACCUCUUGAGUUGGAUCUAAGACGUAGGAAUACGGGGCAUUCCAGACCGAGGGGAAGGUACAGAGUUAAAGGCCAGGAAGCCACAGAACACGACUGGAAGCCUGCAGGACUCCAACAGGAUGGAAAGAAUUCUUUUGAAGAUGCGGUUGCUUCGCUGAGGGAGACUCCAGUUCAGACGAGAACAAAGAGACCCGUAAGAGAACGAGACCCAGGUUUCUGAGCCUAAAACCGGGAUUCUAAGUCCUUUCUGUAUCUGUCUCUUCUGUGUCUUUAUCAGCAUCGCUGAUGAAUUUCCCAAGUUCCUGACCUCACAUUGGUACAUCAGUUAAUAUUUGCCCAAGAGACGUGGGCAGAACCCGAGGGAGCCUGCGGGUCCCUGCUGAUACCAUCCACAGUCCUUUUGGCUCCCACAUCGCUCAUAGAAAAGGCCUUCCUCAUCGCUCUCAGUGCCAAGGGGCCAGUGCCUGAAUUCUCUCUCUCUCUUUUUUUUUUUUUUUUUUUUUGGUCUUUUUGCCUUUUAUAGGGCCACUCCCACAGCAUAUGGAGGUUCCAGGCUAGGGGUCGAAUACGAGCUGUGCCAGAGCCACAGCAACACGGGAUCUGAGCCGUGUCUGCACCCUUCACCACAGCUCACAGCAACGCCAGAUCCUUUAACCCACUGAGCAAGGCCAGGGAUCAAACCCACAACCUCAUGGUUCCUAGUCAGAUUCGUUAACCACUGAGCCACGACAGAACUCCGACUGCCUGAAUUCUUGAAACAACAUUGUCAAAAUCAUAGAAAACAGGAUUUCCACCUCAAAAAGUGUUGGCUGACAGAUUGCUCCUUGUAUUUCUGAGCAGAGGCUUCUCCAGGAUCAUCUGUAAAGGCUCGUUAAUUCCAGUCUGUGAUUGGAACUGCUAUUUAGCUCCCAACGAAUUAAAAUUGCCUCCAAAAUCCAUCUUUGAAAUGAAUUCUAAAUGCAAGUGAGACAGAGGGAGAGAGAACUAGACAGAACUGGAUAGAAAUGAGCCCUCUAUCCUGCCCCUUUUCUAAAUAAAUUUAAAAGCCCG